UACGGAGGGUGCGAGCGUUAAUCGGAAUUACUGGGCGUAAAGCGUGCGUAGGCGGUUCGUUAAGUCGGAUGUGAAAUCCCCGGGCUCAACCUGGGACGUGCGUUCGAUACUGGCGGGCUGGAGUCUGGAAGAGGUUGGCGGAAUUCCCGGUGUAGCGGUGAAAUGCGUAGAUAUCGGGAGGAACAUCUGUGGCGAAGGCGGCCGACUGGUCCAAGACUGACGCUGAGGUACGAAAGCGUGGGGAGCAAACAGG
rnacentral:misc_RNA from 1 species